GAAAUGCGAUAAGUAGUGUGAAUUGCAGAAUUCAGUGAAUCAUCGAAUCUUUGAACGCACAUUGCGCCCCUUGGUAUUCCAUGGGGCAUGCCUGUUCGAGCGUCAUCUACACCCUCAAGCUCUGCUUGGUGUUGGGCGUCUGUCCCCGCCUCCGCGCGCGGACUCGCCCCAAAUCCAUUGGCAGCGUCCCCUCGCCCCCCUCUCGCGCAGCACGAAUGCGCAUGACGAGGGAGCGGCUUUUGGGAUCGCGACCCACCCCCAAGAUGACCACCGUCUUUGACCUCGGAUCAGGUAGGGAUACCCGCUGAACUUAA
rnacentral:misc_RNA from 1 species